UACGAAGGGGGCUAGCGUUGCUCGGAAUUACUGGGCGUAAAGCGCACGUAGGCGGAUUGUUAAGUCGGGGGUGAAAUCCUGGAGCUCAACUCCAGAACUGCCUUCGAUACUGGCGAUCUCGAGUUCGGGAGAGGUGAGUGGAACUGCGAGUGUAGAGGUGAAAUUCGUAGAUAUCGGGAGGAACACCAGUGGCGAAGGCGGCGACCUGGGCCAAUACUGACGCUGAGGUGCGAAAGCGUGGGGAGCAAACAGG
rnacentral:rRNA from 1 species